rnacentral:rRNA from 1 species
UACCGCGGUUACACGAAAAGCCCCAGCUGAUAGGCCCCGGCACAAAGGGUGGUUAAGGAAACCUUUUAAAGCCAAACUCUACCCCCGCCCGCUGUGAUACGCAGCUCGCAAGUAAAGACCUAGACGAAAGUAACUUUACUUUGCCUGAAGCCACAAAAGCUAGGGCA